rnacentral:misc_RNA from 1 species
CUUCUCCUUUCCUUUUCUUUCUCAUUCUAAUCAAAUAGGGGAAUAAUUUACUGUAAUUUUCCCUUCACCUUUGAAUGUAACUAAACAAGGCCUUCUUCCCUUCCUUCUCUUCCUUAUUGAUUUUUUGGUUAUGACACAUAAAGAUAUUUUGUUCUCACUGUGUCUUGUGUAACAUUCUAUCAAUAAUUAUGUUUCUGGUGUAUUUGGAACGAUAGGUGAAGUUUGCAUU